rnacentral:tRNA from 1 species
AGGAUAAAAGUUUUAAACAUAAAAUUUGCAAUUUUAAAAUAUUGAUUAUUCAAUUUAUCUUA